rnacentral:misc_RNA from 1 species
CAGAUGGGGAUAAGAGACAGGUGAGUCAUCGAAUCUUUGAACGCACAUUGCGCCCCUUGGUAUUCCGAGGGGCAUGCCUGUUCGAGCGUCAUUACAACCCUCAAGCACUGCUUGGUAUUGGGCUCCGCUGCUUAUCCAGCGGGCCUUAAAAUUAGUGGCGGUGUCAUUAGGCCCUGAGCGUAGUAAAUAUCCUCGCUAUAGGGACUUGGUGAUUACUGGCCAGCAACCCCCACUUUCUAAGUUUGACCUCGGAUCAGGUAGGGAUACCCGCUGAACUUAAGCAUAUCAAUAAGCGGAGGA